UAAUUAUGAAGAGGAUAGUUUCUGAGCAUGCCUUUGAAUGUCUCCCAAGCUUGGUAAAGAUUUUCUCCAUCUUUCUAUUUUAAACUUAAUAUCUUACUCCUCAAUCA
rfam:Capsicum annuum cultivar Zunla-1 chromosome 9, whole genome shotgun sequence